UGAAUAACCACCAAGCAUUCAGAAAAAAUAGUUUAACUUAUUAACUAUUUGUUUUGGUCUUGGUGGAUGUAA